rnacentral:rRNA from 1 species
AUUGAACGCUGGCGGCAGGCCUAACACAUGCAAGUCGAGCGGCAGCGACUUAACUGAACCUUCGGAGAACGUUAAGGGCGGCGAGCGGCGGACGGGUGAGUAAUGCCUGGGAAUAUGCCCUGAUGUGGGGGAUAACUAUUGGAAACGAUAGCUAAUACCGCAUAAUCUCUUCGGAGCAAAGAGGGGGACCUUCGGGCCUCUCGCGUCAGGAUUAGCCCAGGUGGGAUUAGCUUGUUGGUGAGGUAAUGGCCCACCAAGGCAACGAUCCCUAGCUGGUCUGAGAGGAUGAUCAGCCACACUGGAACUGAGACACGGUCCAGACUCCUACGGGAGGCAGCAGUGGGGAAUAUUGCACAAUGGGGGAAACCCUGAUGCAGCCAUGCCGCGUGUGUGAAGAAGGCCUUCGGGUUGUAAAGCACUUUCAGUAGGGAGGAAGGUAGUGCAGUUAACACCUGCACUAUUUGACGUUACCUACAGAAGAAGCACCGGCUAACUCCGUGCCAGCAGCCGCGGUAAUACGGAGGGUGCGAGCGUUAAUCGGAAUUACUGGGCGUAAAGCGCAUGCAGGCGGCCUGUUAAGUCAGAUGUGAAAGCCCGGGGCUUAACCUCGGAAUUGCAUUUGAAACUGGCAGGCUAGAGUCUUGUAGAGGGGGGUAGAAUUUCAGGUGUAGCGGUGAAAUGCGUAGAGAUCUGAAGGAAUACCAGUGGCGAAGGCGGCCCCCUGGACAAAGACUGACGCUCAGAUGCGAAAGCGUGGGGAGCAAACAGG